rnacentral:tRNA from 1 species
CGGGGUGUGGUCUAGUCUGGCAAGACACGCGGUUUGGGUCCGCGUAAUCGUAGGUUCGAAUCCUACCACCCCGACCA